CUGCUCCGGCGCUCCCCGGGCCCGGAGGCACUGUGAGUCACCCUCACAGCCCCAUCCCCUUCACUUUCGGCGUUGGGGGCGACCCGGAGGACGCUCGGCCCAGGGAUGGUGUGUGUGCGGUCACGCCCUUGCUGAGUACGCAUGCCACCAACAAUAUGGACGCCCAAGUGCCAGAGAGGUCAUGCAGUGUAUCCCCCUGUCUCCGGGCUAAAAAUCAUCUAUCCCUCCAUCGACGCAUCCAUCUAGAGAGGAAGAAACCUGGACGGUUUUUAAAGACUUCCGAGGAGUGACCAGUGUGCCUGUGUGCUCUAAUAUCCAUUUGUCAUCUGCCUUGCAUACAUCCACGGUUUUUCUGAGGCGUGUGUCCAGAGCGUGUGCAUAUAGUAUACAGGGGUCA